UAGGUUGGCGUGGGUGAUCCCGUCUCCAUGGCGAUCACCCACGCGCAUGCAUCGGGCAUGGGCGGAAUGCGAGGAGCCGGAGAUCUGGUUGCUCGUGC
rfam:Desulfobacterium vacuolatum DSM 3385 genome assembly, contig: Ga0002809_114